GGGUUGUGAGGUUAAGCGACUAAGCGUACACGGUGGAUGCCCUGGCAGUCAGAGGCGAUGAAGGACGUGCUAAUCUGCGAUAAGCGUCGGUGAGGUGAUAUGAACCGUUAUAACCGGCGAUUUCCGAAUGGGGAAACCCAGUGUGAUUCGUCACACUAUCAUUAACUGAAUCCAUAGGUUAAUGAGGCGAACCGGGGGAACUGAAACAUCUAAGUACCCCGAGGAAAAGAAAUCAACCGAGAUUCCCCCAGUAGCGGCGAGCGAACGGGGAGCAGCCCAGAGCCUGAAUCAGUGUGUGUGUUAGUGGAAGCGUCUGGAAAGGCGCGCGAUACAGGGUGACAGCCCCGUACACAAAAAUGCACAUACUGUGAGCUCGAUGAGUAGGGCGGGACACGUGGUAUCCUGUCUGAAUAUGGGGGGACCAUCCUCCAAGGCUAAAUACUCCUGACUGACCGAUAGUGAACCAGUACCGUGAGGGAAAGGCGAAAAGAACCCCGGCGAGGGGAGUGAAAAAGAACCUGAAACCGUGUACGUACAAGCAGUGGGAGCCUCUUAAUGGGGUGACUGCGUACCUUUGUAUAAUGGGUCAGCGACUUAUAUUCUGUAGCAAGGUUAACCGAAUAGGGGAGCCGAAGGGAAACCGAGUCUUAACUGGGCGUUAAGUUGCAGGGUAUAGACCCGAAACCCGGUGAUCUAGCCAUGGGCAGGUUGAAGGUUGGGUAACACUAACUGGAGGACCGAACCGACUAAUGUUGAAAAAUUAGCGGAUGACUUGUGGCUGGGGUGAAAGGCCAAUCAAACCGGGAGAUAGCUGGUUCUCCCCGAAAGCUAUUUAGGUAGCGCCUCGUGAAUUCAUCUCCGGGGUAGAGCACUGUUUCGGCAAGGGGUCAUCCCGACUUACCAACCCGAUGCAAACUGCGAAUACCGGAGAAUGUUAUCACGGGAGACACACGGCGGGUGCUAACGUCCGUCGUGAAGAGGGAAACAACCCAGACCGCCAGCUAAGGUCCCAAAGUCAUGGUUAAGUGGGAAACGAUGUGGGAAGGCCCAGACAGCCGUGAUGUUGGCUUAGAAGCAGCCAUCAUUUAAAGAAAGCGUAAUAGCUCACUGGUCGAGUCGGCCUGCGCGGAAGAUGUAACGGGCUAAACCAUGCACCGAAGCUGCGGCAGCGACGUUUAUGCGUUGUUGGGUAGGGGAGCGUUCUGUAAGCCUGCGAAGGUGUACUGUGAGGUAUGCUGGAGGUAUCAGAAGUGCGAAUGCUGACAUAAGUAACGAUAAAGCGGGUGAAAAGCCCGCUCGCCGGAAGACCAAGGGUUCCUGUCCAACGUUAAUCGGGGCAGGGUGAGUCGACCCCUAAGGCGAGGCCGAAAGGCGUAGUCGAUGGGAAACAGGUUAAUAUUCCUGUACUUGGUGUUACUGCGAAGGGGGGACGGAGAAGGCUAUGUUGGCCGGGCGACGGUUGUCCCGGUUUAAGCGUGUAGGCUGAUUUUCCGUGCAAAUCCGGAAAAUCAAGGCUGAGGCGUGAUGACGAGGCACUACGGUGCUGAAGCAACAAAUGCCCUGCUUCCGUGAAAGCCUCUAAGCAUCAGGUAACAUCAAAUCGUACCCCAAACCGACACAGGUGGUCAGGUAGAGAAUACCAAGGCGCUUGAGAGAACUCGGGUGAAGGAACUAGGCAAAAUGGUGCCGUAACUUCGGGAGAAGGCACGCUGAUAUGUAGGUGAAGUCCCUUGCGGAUGGAGCUGAAAUCAGUCGAAGAUACCAGCUGGCUGCAACUGUUUAUUAAAACACAGCACUGUGCAAACACGAAAGUGGACGUAUACGGUGUGACGCCUGCCCGGUGCCGGAAGGUUAAUUGAUGGGGUUAGCGGUAACGCGAAGCUCUUGAUCGAAGCCCCGGUAAACGGCGGCCGUAACUAUAACGGUCCUAAGGUAGCGAAAUUCCUUGUCGGGUAAGUUCCGACCUGCACGAAUGGCGUAAUGAUGGCGGGCUGUCUCCACCCGAGACUCAGUGAAAUUGAACUCGCUGUGAAGAUGCAGUGUACCCGCGGCAAGACGGAAAGACCCCGUGAACCUUUACUAUAGCUUGACACUGAACAUUGAGCCUUGAUGUGUAGGAUAGGUGGGAGGCUUUGAAGUGUGGACGCCAGUCUGCAUGGAGCCGGCCUUGAAAUACCACCCUUUAAUGUUUGAUGUUCUAACGUUGGCCCCUGAUCGGGGUUGCGGACAGUGUCUGGUGGGUAGUUUGACUGGGGCGGUCUCCUCCUAAAGAGUAACGGAGGAGCACGAAGGUUGGCUAAUCCGGUCGGACAUCAGGAGGUUAGUGCAAUGGCAUAAGCCAGCUUGACUGCGAGCGUGACGGCGCGAGCAGGUGCGAAAGCAGGUCAUAGUGAUCCGGUGGUUCUGAAUGGAAGGGCCAUCGCUCAACGGAUAAAAGGUACCGGGGAUAACAGGCUGAUACCGCCCAAGAGUUCAUAUCGACGGCGGUGUUUGGCACCUCGAUGUCGGCUCAUCACAUCCUGGGGCUGAAGUAGGUCCCAAGGGUAUGGCUGUUCGCCAUUUAAAGUGGUACGCGAGCUGGGUUUAGAACGUCGUGAGACAGUUCGGUCCCUAUCUGCCGUGGGCGCUGGAGAACUGAGGGGGGCUGCUCCUAGUACGAGAGGACCGGAGUGGACGCAUCACUGGUGUUCGGGUUGUCAUGCCAAUGGCACUGCCCGGUAGCUAAAUGCGGAAGAGAUAAGUGCUGAAAGCAUCUAAGCACGAAACUUGCCCCGAGAUGAGUUCUCCCUGACCCUUUAAGGGUCCUGAAGGAACGUUGAAGACGACGACGUUGAUAGGCCGGGUGUGUAAGCGCAGCGAUGCGUUGAGCUAACCGGUACUAAUGAACCGUGAGGCUUAACCUUACAACGCCGAAGGUGUUU
rnacentral:rRNA from 1 species